GAUGAACGCUGGCGGCGUGCCUAACACAUGCAAGUCGAGCGAGGGUUUGCUCAGUAUUGAGUAUUCUAAAACUAGAAUGUUCAAUUCUGAGCAAAACCAAGCGGCGGACGGGUGAGUAACGCGUGGGUAACCUGCCCUAUACACAUGGAUAACAUACUGAAAAGUUUACUAAUACAUGAUAAUAUAUAUUUGCGGCAUCGCAGAUAUAUCAAAGUGUUAGCGGUAUAGGAUGGACCCGCGUCUGAUUAGCUAGUUGGUGAGAUAACUGCCCACCAAGGCGACGAUCAGUAGCCGACCUGAGAGGGUGAUCGGCCACAUUGGAACUGAGACACGGUCCAAACUCCUACGGGAGGCAGCAGUGGGGAAUAUUGCACAAUGGGCGAAAGCCUGAUGCAGCAACGCCGCGUGAACGAUGAAGGUCUUCGGAUCGUAAAGUUCUGUGCAGGGAAGAUAANGAC
rnacentral:rRNA from 1 species